AGUGAACGCUGGCGGUAGGCCUAACACAUGCAAGUCGAACGGCAGCACAGUAAGAGCUUGCUCUUACGGGUGGCGAGUGGCGGACGGGUGAGGAAUACAUCGGAAUCUACUUUUUCGUAGGGGAUAACGUAGGGAAACUUACGCUAAUACCGCAUACGACCUACGGGUGAAAGCAGGGGAUCUUCGGACCUUGCGCGAUUGAAUGAGCCGAUGUCGGAUUAGCUAGUUGGCGGGGUAAAGGCCCACCAAGGCGACGAUCCGUAGCUGGUCUGAGAGGAUGAUCAGCCACACUGGAACUGAGACACGGUCCAGACUCCUACGGGAGGCAGCAGUGGGGAAUAUUGGACAAAGGGCGCAAGCCUGAUCCAGCCAUACCGCGUGGGUGAAGAAGGCCUUCGGGUUGUAAAGCCCUUUUGUUGGGAAAGAAAAGCAGCAGGUUAAUACCCCGCUGUCCUGACGGUACCCAAAGAAUAAGCACCGGCUAACUUCGUG
rnacentral:rRNA from 1 species